ensembl:snRNA U2 U2 spliceosomal RNA
UGACCUUCUUGACCUUUUGGCUAAGAUCAAGUAUGGUUAUCUGUUCUUAUCAAUUUAAGAGCCAAUACAUCCUUUAUCCAUGAAAAUAUAGAUGUUUGCAGCAAGGAGAUGGAAAAAAAAAGCUUGCUCUACUCUUCCAAUGCAUCAAGUUGAUAUUACAGUGCUUCCAAGAAUGGUGCAUCUUAC